rnacentral:rRNA from 1 species
GUCAGCCGCCGCGGUAAUACCUGCAGCCAAGUGGUGGUCGAUUUAUUGAGUCUAAAACGUCGUAGCCGGUUCGGUAAAUCGUUGGGUAAAUCGGGGGGCUUAACCUCCCGACUUCCGAGGAGACUGCCGAACUUGGGACCGGAGAGGCUAGAGGUACUUCUGGGGUAGGAGUAAAAUCCUGUAAUCCUAGAAGGACCACCGGUGGCGAAGGCGUCUAGCUAGAACGGAUCCGACGGUGAGGGACGAAGCCCUGGGUCGCAAACGGGAUUAGAUACCCCGGUAGUCCAGGGUGUAAACGCUGCAGACUUGGUGUUGGAGGCCCUUUGGGGGCAUCCAGUGCCGGAGAGAAGUUGUUAAGUCUGCUACUUGGGGAGUACGUCCGCAAGGAUGAAACUUAAAGGAAUUGGGCGGGGGAGCACCGCAAACGGGGAGGAGCGUGCGGUUUAAUUGGAUUCAACAACCGUAAAACUCACCGAGGGAAGACUGUUACAUGAAGGCCGGGCUAAAGACUCUGCCAGAUUUUCAGAGGAGAGGUGGUGCAUGG